rnacentral:rRNA from 1 species
GAUGAACGCUGGCGGCGUGCCUAAUACAUGCAAGUCGAGCGAACAGACGAGGAGCUUGCUCCUCUGACGUUAGCGGCGGACGGGUGAGUAACACGUGGAUAACCUACCUAUAAGACUGGGAUAACUUCGGGAAACCGGAGCUAAUACCGGAUAAUAUAUUGAACCGCAUGGUUCAAUAGUGAAAGACGGUUUUGCUGUCACUUAUAGAUGGAUCCGCGCCGCAUUAGCUAGUUGGUAAGGUAACGGCUUACCAAGGCGACGAUGCGUAGCCGACCUGAGAGGGUGAUAGGCCACACUGGAACGGAGACACGGUCCAGACUCCUACGGGAGGCAGCAGUAGGGAAUCUGCCGCAAAGGGCGAAAGCCUGACGGAGCAACGCCGCGUGAGUGAUGAAGGUCUUCGGAUCGUAAAACUCUGUUAUUAGGGAAGAACAAAUGUGUAAGUAACUAUGCACGUCUUGACGGUACCUAAUCAGAAAGCCACGGCUAACUACGUG